CAUAUGAAGGUCAGGCUGAAGACCUUACCCGAUUAGCUGAGAGGUGGUGCAUGGCCGUCGUCAGUUCGUACUGUGAAGCAUCCUGUUAAGUCAGGCAACGAGCGAGACCCACGUCCACAGUUGCCAGCAUACCCUCCGGGGUGAUGGGUACACUGUGGAGACCGCCGCUGCUAAAGCGGAGGAAGGAGUGGGCAACGGUAGGUCAGUAUGCCCCGAAUCUCCCGGGCUACACGCGGGCUACAAUGGUUGGUACAAUGGGCAUCUACCCCGAAAGGGGAAGGAAAUCUCUUAAAGCCAAUCGUAGUUCGGAUUGAGGGCUGCAACUCGCCCUCAUGAAGCUGGAAUCCGUAGUAAUCGCGUUUCAACAGAACGCGGUGAAUACGUCCCUGCUCCUU
rnacentral:rRNA from 1 species